AUUGGCUGGAUCAUCAUAAUGGGCGGGGGGUUACUUCCACGGGGUUCAACCCACUCAGCUAAGAAGGAAGACCUGGAGCGAGUUAGGAAUUGUUUGCUGCGGAUGGAACAACCCGGGGUCGGGCUCUGCUGCACCCUGGCGGCAUGUUGCAGUCAUUGCGUCACUGGCGCCUGCCCCUGCCUCCUCGCGGGCCGGCCUAGUUCUACCUCCUUCACGCUGGAUGCCCUGGGGUUUAAGAGAUGACAAAUCGGCUUUCUCCCAGGACGAGGAGUCUCCUCUCUAAUGAUUGACUGGUCGUUAUCAGCGACUUUUUGAACUGUUCCAGUAAGAGGGAAUUACUGCUGCAAGGAGGCUAUUCUCAUUUUUUCAUUGCUGGAACUAUUAAAAACUUACCCAGGGUAAUAAUUAUAGUAAUAAUAAUAACCAGCACCAACUUCUCCUGUCAAUCCAGUUGCUCCUCAGGACUUAUUGAGCAUUUAUUAUGUGCUAGAUAGUCUUCUAAGCACUUAGCACAUACUGACUCAUUUAAUUGCCACAGUAAUCUUAUAAGAUAGGUGAUCUAGUGAAUCCCAUUUUAUGGAUGAAAAAACAGAGGCACUGGAGAGGUUAAUAAACUUGACCAAAGGAUGAUGACUAAUGCCUCCAAAAUCUUUAAUAAUAUCGCCAUUUCCUAAAGUUAAAUGGAACAUUGUUUUCUCUUCACAUAACCCCCUCAUGUCCCCAAAUAUUAUCUGGGUUAAACGCUUGUGGGUUUUCUUAAUUUUUAUUAGUAUUUCAUAUUUCUUCAUUUUUCAAGGUUUCCUAGUUCUCUGGGUCACUGUCCCCUGGGCAGGCUAGAGUUGAUUAGUGUUGUUCUUACUAGGUGGGGGCCCCUAGAUCUGAACACCGUUUCCACUGUCAUCUGACCAGUCCAUAUCCUCAUUUGAAUAAUGUGCUUCUAGCGAUGCAGACUAACUGUAAUUAUGAAAAUAGUUAACCCUUAUUGAAUUUGUUUAUGUACCAGGCCCUGUGCCAAGCGCUUUCUGGAAGAACCACAUGUGAAAGGUAUUUUUGUAUCUUUUUUUGUACAUGAAUCAUUGGAAGCUUAAAGAAGUUGGUUAACUUGGCCAAGGACACAGUGAUCCAAGCCCAGGGCACUUGGCCAUGAGGAUGUAUUAUAUUUCCUUCCCUUUGCACCCACCUAUGACACACGUCUGACCAUUUAAGCCUUUGGCUUCAGCAAGAUGGAAAGCAAUUUGUCUUCUCCUAAAGAUCAAAGCCUGCUCUGACCCUGUGGGAAAUACACUUACCAUUUACCCAGACAAUUACUUUCCCCAGGUUCCAGGAGGUGCCAAAUCUCCCCUUUUUCUCCUUCCAGACAAUCACAGCCCUCAUUAAGCCCUUCCUGUUUGCACUCUCAUUUCCUACAUAAAUUCCUAUCAAGGUUACCAGCCCUCCCCAGUUUAUUCCUUUCUCUCUUUCCCAGCCAUGGCCUCUCAGCCACCAGUCACCUCUUCCCCCAACCCCCUGACCUCCCACUUCUCUUCUCAAUUCAACUGCUCUUCAGGAUUUCUGGUUGCACUACCUCUGGAGACAAGACUCUAGCAUUUGUUCUUUAUAGUAAUGUCAUUGGAUUGAGGAUACUUGUUUGCAGAGGAGGCAAGAAUGCGUUGUUCCGUUUUUGAAUUCCACACAUCUAAUAUGGAGCCUGAGCCACAGGGCUCAAAAUGUUAAGUAAACAAAUGAAUGGGAAAUUAAUAAGAAGAAUGCAUUGGCAAGACCGUGAAGAAGGCCUGCCAUGGGAAGCUUUGGGAAGAAGCCAGCUGCCAUGUUGUGAGAACUCUCAAGCAGCUGUGUGGAGAGAUCCAUGUGGUGAGGAACUGAAGCCUCCUACCCACCAUCAAGUCAGUGGCUCACUACUGUUGCAGUGAAUUCUCCAGCCCAUGAAGACUUUAGAUGAUUUACCCAACAUCUUGAUUAUAGCCUCAUGGAUUCCCUGAGCCAGAACAACCCAGCUAAGCCUCUCCUGAAUUCCUUACCUACAGAAACUGUGAGAUAAUAAAUAUUUAUUC
rnacentral:lncRNA from 1 species